GACGAACGCUGGCGGCGUGCUUAACACAUGCAAGUCGAACGGAAAGGCCCUGCUUUUGUGGGGUGCUCGAGUGGCGAACGGGUGAGUAACACGUGAGUAACCUGCCCUUGACUUUGGGAUAACUUCAGGAAACUGGGGCUAAUACCGGAUAGGAGCUCCUGCUGCAUGGUGGGGGUUGGAAAGUUUCGGCGGUUGGGGAUGGACUCGCGGCUUAUCAGCUUGUUGGUGGGGUAGUGGCUUACCAAGGCUUUGACGGGUAGCCGGCCUGAGAGGGUGACCGGCCACAUUGCGACUGAGAUACGGCACAGACUCCUACGGGAGGCAGCAGUGGGGAAUAGUGCACAAUGGGCGGAAGCCUGAUGUAGCAACGCCGCGUGCGGGAUGACGGCCUUCGGGUUGGAAACCGCUUUCGCCUGUGACGAAGCGUUAGUGACGGUAAUGGGUAAAGAAGCACCGGCUAACUACGUG
rnacentral:rRNA from 1 species